UAGGGAAUAUUGGUCAAUGGACGGAAGUCUGAACCAGCCAUGCCGCGUGCAGGAAGAAGGCCUUCUGGGUUGUAAACUGCUUUUGCCAGGGGCUAAAAAGCUCAUGCGUGAGAAAUUGAAAGUACCUGGUGAAUAAGCCUCGGCUAACUACGUGCCAGCAGCCGCGGUAAUACGUAGGUGGCAAGCGUUGUCCGGAUUUAUUGGGUUUAAAGGGUGCGUAGGCGGCUUUGUAAGUCAGUGGUGAAAUAUGGCAGCUCAACUGUCAGGGUGCCAUUGAUACUGCAGAGCUUGAGUACAGAUGAGGUAGGCGGAAUUGACGGUGUAGCGGUGAAAUGCUUAGAUAUCGUCAAGAACACCGAUAGCGAAGGCAGCUUACUGGGCUGUAACUGACGCUGAGGCACGAAAGUGUGGGGAUCAAAC
rnacentral:rRNA from 1 species